rnacentral:rRNA from 1 species
AACGAACGCUGGCGGCAUGCCUAACACAUGCAAGUCGAACGAGACCUUCGGGUCUAGUGGCGCACGGGUGCGUAACGCGUGGGAACCUGCCCUUAGGUUCGGAAUAACGUCGGGAAACUGACGCUAAUACCGGAUAAUGUCUUCGGACCAAAGAUUUAUCGCCUUUGGAUGGGCCCGCGUAGGAUUAGCUAGUUGGUGAGGUAACGGCUCACCAAGGCGACGAUCCUUAGUUGGUCUUAGAGGAUGAUCAGCCACACUGGGACUGAGACACGGCCCAGACUCCUACGGGAGGCAGCAGUGGGGAAUAUUGGACAAUGGGCGCAAGCCUGAUCCAGCAAUGCCGCGUGAGUGAUGAAGGCCUUAGGGUUGUAAAGCUCUUUUACCCGGGAUGAUAAUGACAGUACCGGGAGAAUAAGCCCCGGCUAACUCCGUGCCAGCCGCCGCGGUAA